GGCUUCGCGGCUCAGUUAGCUAGAGCGUUGCCUGUGCUAAGGCCUUCCGCUGCUGGCGUGGGUUCAAAUCCCGCCGAGGCUG
rnacentral:tRNA from 1 species